rnacentral:tRNA from 1 species
ACCUCUCUGGCUCUGCUGGUGGAGCAUGAGACUCUUGAUCUCGGGGUUGUGAGUUCGAGCCCCAUGUUGGGUG